UACGGGGGGGGCAAGCGUUGUUCGGAAUUACUGGGCGUAAAGGGCUCGUAGGUGGCCAACUAAGUCGGACGUGAAAUCCCUCAGCUUAACUGGGGAACUGCGUCCGAUACUGGAUGGCUUGAGUUCGGGAGAGGGAUGCGGAAUUCCAGGUGUAGCGGUGAAAUGCGUAGAUAUCUGGAGGAACACCGGUGGCGAAGGCGGCAUCCUGGACCGAUACUGACGCUGAGGCGCGAAAGCUAGGGGAGCAAACGGG
rnacentral:rRNA from 1 species